rnacentral:snoRNA from 1 species
UGACUUUUACAGUUUAUGCAAUAUUGAAAAAACAACAAACUACAUACAGGUGCUAAAAAUAAAGCCUCUUUUGCAACCCAGAACUCAUUGCUCAGUAUGAGUUUUGAUACAUAUAAGAAGGAACAUG